UGGGGAAUAUUGCACAAUGGAGGGAACUCUGAUGCAGCGACGCCGCGUGAGUGAUGAAGGAAUUCGUUUCGUAAAACUCUGUUCUAUGGGAAGAAAAUGACUGUACCAUAGGAGAAAGCUCCGGCUAAAUACGUGCCAGCAGCCGCGGUAAUACGUAUGGAGCGAGCGUUGUCCGGAAUUAUUGGGCGUAAAGGGUGCGCAGGCGGCUUUACAAGUUGGAUGUGAAAUAUUGUGGCUCAACCACAAACGUGCAUCCAAAACUGCAAAGCUUGAGUUAAGGAGAGGUAAGUGGAAUUCCUGGUGUAGCGGUGGAAUGCGUAGAUAUCAGGAGGAAUACCGGUGGCGAAGGCGACUUACUGGACUUAAACUGACGCUCAGGCACGAAAGCGUGGGGAGCAAACAGG
rnacentral:rRNA from 1 species